UUGGAGGUUGUAAAAGUGUUUUGCAUUAUGUAAAUUUGGUUUGCACCUCUCGGCCACCGUAGUUAUUUGAUUUUCGUUUUAAAAUACAAAAAUUAAAAUUGAAAUACAAGGCGUUUUUCCUUUUCAUGAUCAAAAAGGGAUAUACCAAUUUUUUUCUAAACGCUUGAUUGUCGUUCUAUAUUUAGAAUAACAAAAAAGUAAAAUCAGUAAGAGUCAGAAACGAAAGAAAGGUCAGUUUUUUCAUUUUCUGAGACCGGAAGUGGUCAUCAGCAAGUGUGGAGCCAAACAGAGUAGGUGCAUAGACUGUAUAUAAUUUCUUUUCGUUAGUUUUCAUGGUCAAAAUGAGAGAUCAGGUGGCCGAUCUUAAAAUAAAUCAAUAUUGAUUUUUUUUAUAGAGCGUUAAAGUUUUGCGAAGCCAGGGGGCGGGACUACUUGAUUGACAGUCCGGUCUGGAAUGAUUGACAGGUCCUAUGGAGGAGGCAGCAGAGACUCUGCUCUCCUCGUUUGGAUUAAUUCUGAUAUAAUAACUGUUGGUUUAUUUAUCGGUGGAGCAGCAGAACAUUUUCCACAGACAGUUUUCCUGCCCGUUGGCUUGUUUUAACCAGUUUUCUACCUUCGGCUGAUUCUACCAGCAGACACUGAAAGGACUCUGAUAGUUCGGUCCCUCUCUAUCUCCCCACACAUCCACCAACCACUGGAACACAUCUCCAAAGUUCUGCCGGGCCAGCUCAGCUUCCCCUCAGAAGAAGUGCCGCCACCUGCCAGAUGAAGGAGCCUUUUGAGAGGCAGCUGGCAUCGUGAUUGGACUGUACUUUGGUCUGUUCCAGUCCAGCUUCAGCUCCAGAGACGGCAGGCGGGACGAGUCAACGGAGGCCGGGUGGAGGAAGGCAUGCAGCUGAGUACAAUCCAGAAAACAACAGAGGAGGAAUGCAGCGGCCCAGUGCCAGAACAACCAGAGUAGCAUCGUAUGUCUCUUAGAAAACAUCAUAGUAUAG